UAAUCGAUUACAAGGCUUAAAAAUGAAGACAGGAAGUUAAGAUGGCCUCUGGUAAUCGAUUACCAAGGGUGUGUAAUCGAUUACAAGGCUUAAAAUGGAGAUAAGAAGUUGAGAUGGCCUCUGGUAAUCGAUUACCAAGGGGUGUAAUCGAUUACAAGGCUUAGAAAUGGAGACAGGAUGUUGAGGUGGCCUCUGGUAAUCGAUUACCAAUGUUGUGUAAUCGAUUACACAGAGUAACAGGGCACUGGUAAUCGAUUACCAGUUAUGUGUAAUCG
rnacentral:lncRNA from 1 species